AGAGUUUGAUCAUGGCUCAGGAUGAACGCUGGCGGUAUGCUUAACACAUGCAAGUCGAACGGAAUCUUCGGAUUUAGUGGCGGACGGGUGAGUAACGCGUGAGAAUCUACUCUUAGAUUGGGGACAACAGUUGGAAACGACUGCUAAUACCGAAUGUGCCGAAAGGUAAAAGAUUUAUCGUCUGAGAAUGAGCUCGCGUUGGAUUAGCUAGUUGGAGUGGUAAUGGCACACCAAGGCGACGAUCCAUAACUGGUCUGAGAGGAUGACCAGUCACACUGGGACUGAGACGCGGCCCAGACUCCUACGGGAGGCAGCAGUGGGGAAUUUUCCGCAAUGGGCGCAAGCCUGACGGAGCAAGACCGCGUGAGGGAAGAAGGUCUGUGGAUUGUAAACCUCUUUUGAUCGGGAAGAAGACAGUGACGGUACCGAUCGAAUCAGCUCGACUGCGCC
rnacentral:rRNA from 1 species